UACGGGGGGAGCAAGCGUUGUUCGGAUUUACUGGGCGUAAAGGGCGCGUAGGCGGUCGUGUCAGGUCACUUGUGAAAUCUCCGGGCUUAACUCGGAACGGUCAAGUGAUACUGUCGGACUAGAGUACAGAAGGGGCAACUGGAAUUCUCGGUGUAGCGGUGAAAUGCGUAGAUAUCUGGAGGAACACCGGUGGCGAAGGCGGCGUUCUGGACUGCAACUGACACUGAUAAACGAAAGCCAGGGUAGCAAACGGG
rnacentral:rRNA from 1 species